rnacentral:rRNA from 1 species
AACGAGCGCUGGCGGCAUGCCUAACACAUGCAAGUCGAACGAGACCUUCGGGUCUAGUGACGCGCGGGUGCGUAACGCGUGGGAAUCUGCCCUUGGGUUCGGAAUAACUCGCCGAAAGGCGUGCUAAUACCGGAUGAUGUCGUAAGACCAAAGAUUUAUCGCCCAGGGAUGAGCCCGCGUAAGAUUAGGUAGUUGGUGAGGUAAAGGCUCACCAAGCCGACGAUCUUUAGCUGGUCUGAGAGGAUGAUCAGCCACACUGGGACUGAGACACGGCCCACG